GACGAACGCUGGCGGCGUGCUUAACACAUGCAAGUCGAACGAAGAGCGAUGGAAGCUUGCUUCUAUCAAUCUUAGUGGCGAACGGGUGAGUAACGCGUAAUCAACCUGCCCUUCAGAGGGGGACAACAGUUGGAAACGACUGCUAAUACCACAUACGAUCUAAUCUCGGCAUCGAGGAUAGAUGAAAGGUGGCCUCUACAUGUAAGCUAUCACUGAAGGAGGGGAUUGCGUCUGAUUAGCUAGUUGGAGGGGUAACGGCCCACCAAGGCGAUGAUCAGUAGCCGGUCUGAGAGGAUGAACGGCCACAUUGGGACUGAGACACGGCCCAGACUCCUACGGGAGGCAGCAGUGGGGAAUCUUCCGCAAUGGACGAAAGUCUGACGGAGCAACGCCGCGUGAGUGAUGACGGCCUUCGGGUUGUAAAGCUCUGUUAAUCGGGACGAAAGGCCUUCUUGCGAAUAGUGAGAAGGAUUGACGGUACCGGAAUAGAAAGCCACGGCUAACUACGUG
rnacentral:rRNA from 1 species